rnacentral:rRNA from 1 species
AUUGAACGCUAGCGGGAUGCCUAACACAUGCAAGUCGAACGAGUGGCGGACGGGUGAGUAAUAUAUCGGAACGUGCCCGGUAGCGGGGGAUAACUACUCGAAACGGUGGCUAAUACCGCAUACUAUCGGAGCGGCCGAUAUGGGAUUAGCUAGUUGGUGGGGUAAAGGCUCACCAGGGCAACGAUCCGUAGCUGGUCUGAGAGGACGACCAGCCACACUGGAACUGAGACACGGCCCAGACUCCUACGGGAGGCAGCAGUGGGGAAUUUUGGACAAUGGGGGAAACCCUGAUCCAGCCAUCCCGCGUGUAUGAGAAGGCCUUCGGGUUGUAAAGUACUUUUGGCAGGGAAGCGUUAUCUGCAGAAUAAGCACCGGCUAACUACGUGCCAGCAGCCGCGGUAAUAC